CCAGACUCCUACGGGAGGCAGCAGUGAGGAAUAUUGGACAAUGGUCGGAAGACUGAUCCAGCCAUGCCGCGUGCAGGAAGACGGCCUUAUGGGUUGUAAACUGCUUUUGCAGGGGAAGAAUAAGGACUACGCGUAGUUUGAUGACGGUACUCUGCGAAUAAGCAUCGGCUAACUCCGUGCCAGCAGCCGCGGUAAUACGGAGGAUGCGAGCGUUAUCCGGAAUCAUUGGGUUUAAAGGGUCCGUAGGCGGGCUAAUAAGUCAGAGGUGAAAGCGCUCAGCUCAACUGAGCAACUGCCUUUGAAACUGUUAGUCUUGAAUGGUUGUGAAGUAGUUGGAAUGUGUAGUGUAGCGGUGAAAUGCUUAGAUAUUACACAGAACACCGAUAGCGAAGGCAUAUUACUAACAAUUAAUUGACGCUGAUGGACGAAAGCGUGGGGAGCGAACAGGAUUAGAUACCCGGGUAGUCCACGCCGUAAACGAUGGACACUGGCUGUUGGAGGUAUCGACCCCUUCAGUAGCGAAGCUAACGCGUUAAGUAUCCCGCCUGUGGAGUACGGCCGCAAGGCUAAAACAUAAAGGAAUUGACGGGGGCCCGCACAAG
rnacentral:rRNA from 1 species